UGGAUCAAAAAGACAGUGUGGUGUUUCUGAAGGAGGAUGCUGGUCGCAAGCGAAGGGUUCGUGAUGAAGCCAAACCAUUAUCGGUGGUAGAUGGAGCCUUGCCGAUUGAAAAGUUUCAUUGCCCUCUUUCGUUCAACACGGCAUUCAAAGAAAUAUCUGAAGACUUCAAGCGAGUCUCCGUCACCCUGGAUGUGGAAACAGCGCAUCCGGAGCUAGAGGUGUCUG